rnacentral:rRNA from 1 species
AAUCUUCCGAAUUGGACGAAAGUCUGACGGAGCGAUGCCGCGUGAGUGAUGAAGGACUUCGGUUCGUAAAACUCUGUUGUUAGGGAAGAACAUGUACCGGAUCAAUAUGCCGGAACUUUGACGGAACCUAACCAGAAAGCCCCGCCUACCCACUUUCCACCAGCCGCGGUAAUACGUAGGGGGCAAGCGUUGCCCGGAAUUAUUGGGCGUAAAGGGCACGCAGGCGGUUAUUUAAGUCUGAUGUGAAAUCUUGUGGCUUAACCACAAGCGGUCAUUGGAAACUGGAUAACUUGAGUACAGAAGAGGAGAGUGGAAUUCCACGUGUAGCGGUGAAAUGCGUAGAGAUGUGGAGGAACACCAGUGGCGAAGGCGGCUCUCUGGUCUGUAACUGACGCUGAGGUGCGAAAGCGUGGGUAGCGAACA